ACAAGGUUUCCGUAGGUGAACGUGCGGAAGGAUCAUU
rnacentral:rRNA from 1 species